AUGGGGCUCAGGAGGCUCCUGCACCCAGCCCAAAGCUGCCUGCCCCCACAGCCCCCGCCCUGCCUGACCUCAGCGCGCAGGAAUCUGGAGGUGCCUGAGGGACUCCCACGGCCUGAUUCAUCCAGGGCCCUGGCACAGCACCCGAAAGCCAGCCCCGUGCCACCCGUGCUGCUCUGGGGGGGGGCACGGUGGAAGCAGCGGCUUCCUGCCGGCACGACACCCUGCCCCACGGGCACCCUGCCCCACGGGCACCCUGCCCCACGGGCACCCUGCCCAUCUCCAGACUCCUUCUGGGGCUCUUCCGCAGCAAACCCCACCGCAAAGCAUCAGCGCUUUGGGGAGAGACUUCCAGCAAAAGGGCAACUUCCCCAGAGCUCCCCCGGGCACACGGGGACUCGUGUUGGAAUUUCGCUCAGCUUUGCCCCGGUUGUACGACGUGGAAAUGGCCGAAGCUGCCUGCACCCACACCAGGCUGCUCCGGAGCUCCGGCGACGGCAGCGGGAGCGACGCUGCCCCUGCAUCCCUGGCGCGGGAGCCAGCACGACGCUGGGUGCACGAACCCAGACAAAACAGACCCUGGCAGAGCCCGGAGCCUGCGGCGGGAGCCAAGAUCCUCAUCCAGCAGCGGCCGCCAGCCGCGCCGGCGCGGAGCAGCAGCUGGCUCCGGCACGCUGCAGCUCCCCGCGGCACAGGAGGGGACGGGGGCAGGCGGCGCAGCCCGCGGGAGGUGCUGGCACCGCCAGGACCACAACGGCAGCGAACGCCGGCACGUUUGGGGCUCAGCUGCCACCCAGGGCGCUCCUUCCCCUGGUGUCGUCAGCGCCGACGGUGCUGGGGCUGAAGCAUCCCUUCAGUUUAAGAAAGUUUUUAAGAGCAAAGAACGAGGAGCCUGCUUGUACGAGCAGAGAAAUUCCUCACCCCGGUUUUGGCAUUUUCUCCUGGAAAAAGCCCAGCCCGCUGUUACUCCGCGCGCUGGUGUCCACUAGGUACUUCGGUUGCAACACGCGCCUCCAAAAAUGUGUUAUUUUGGCUGGGGCUCUGGGCAGCGAUGUUGACAGCUGA
rnacentral:lncRNA from 1 species